rnacentral:rRNA from 1 species
GAUGAACGCUAGCGGCAGGCUUAACACAUGCAAGUCGAGGGGUAUUUAUCUUCGGAUAGAGAGACCGGCGCACGGGUGCGUAACGCGUAUGCAAUCUACCUUUUACAGAGGGAUAGCCCAGAGAAAUUUGGAUUAAUACCUCAUAGUAUAUAGACUCGGCAUCGAGAUUAUAUUAAAGUCACAACGGUAAAAGAUGAGCAUGCGUCCCAUUAGCUAGUUGGUAAGGUAACGGCUUACCAAGGCUACGAUGGGUAGGGGUCCUGAGAGGGAGAUCCCCCACACUGGUACUGAGACACGGACCAGACUCCUACGGGAGGCAGCAGUGAGGAAUAUUGGACAAUGGGCGCAAGCCUGAUCCAGCCAUGCCGCGUGCAGGAUGACGGUCCUAUUGAUUGUAAACUGCUUUUAUACGAGAAGAAACACUGCUACGUGUAGCAGCUUGACGGUAUCGUAAGAAUAAGGAUCGGCUAACUCCGUG